rnacentral:rRNA from 1 species
AAAUUGAAGAGUUUGAUCAUGGCUCAGAUUGAACGCUGGCGGCAGGCCUAACACAUGCAAGUCGAGCGGUAGCACAGAGAGCUUGCUCUCGGGUGACGAGCGGCGGACGGGUGAGUAAUGUCUGGGAAACUGCCUGAUGGAGGGGGAUAACUACUGGAAACGGUAGCUAAUACCGCAUAACGUCGCAAGACCAAAGUGGGGGACCUUCGGGCCUCAUGCCAUCAGAUGUGCCCAGAU